AUGCUGUUGUCACAUGCAGCCGCCGUCCACAACUACAAGAAGAAUUAUCAGGCAACGCAAGGCGGAUCGAUCGGUAUCGUGAUUGCGAUGAAAUGGUAUGAGCCGCUGACGAAUACCACGGAGGAUAUCCUGGCUGCGCGACGUGCCUUGUCUUUUGAGGUAGAUUGGUUUUUGGAGCCGAUAUUCUUUGGUGAUUAUCCCAGAGAAAUGCAUGAGUUGUUAUCAUCCAACUUACCAAAGUUCACCUCAGAAGAGAAGAUCUUACUGCAGAAGAACAAGGCGGAUUUUAUCGGUGUAAACCAUUACACGACAAUUUAUGUCAAGGAUUGCAUCUCUUCUCCGUGCGACCUCAAGGCUUAUGAGGCUUAUGAGGCGAAUGCACUAGUCCUAGCUACAGGUGAAAGAGAUGGCGUUGCAAUUGGGAAACCCACUGCAUUCGAUGGUUACUAUGAUGUUCCAGAGGGCAUGGAGCGGAUCGUCAAGUAUGUUAAUCAGAGAUACGAGAACACACCUAUCUAUGUUACUGAAAAUGGUUACUCGCAAUACAGUAAUAACACUAUGGACGAAUUGAUCAAUGACGUUGAAAGAGUGAACUACCUACAUGGUUAUCUCACAUGUCUCUCUUCAGCGGUCAGGAAAGGAGCAGACGUGCGUGGGUACUUCGUAUGGAGUAUCAUCGACAACUUCGAGUGGACUUUCGGUUUCACGGUAAGGUUCGGGCUGUAUCAUGUGGAUUAUGAAACGCAGAAGAGGACUCCAAAGAUGUCGGCGAAGUGGUACCGAGACUUCCUCAUGGGCUCUAGGCCGACCGACCAGGUGCAGACGCUAAGAGCAGAUUUGUGA
rnacentral:rRNA from 1 species